UUCCUACGGGAGGCAGCAGUGAGGAAUAUUGGUCAAUGGGCUAAGGCCUGAACCAGCCAAGUCGCGUGAGGGAAGACGGUCCUAUGGAUUGUAAACCUCUUUUGCCGGGGAGCAAAAAGCGGUACGUGUACCGCAUCGAGAGUACCCGGAGAAAAAGCAUCGGCUAACUCCGUGCCAGCAGCCGCGGUAAUACGGAGGAUGCGAGCGUUAUCCGGAUUUAUUGGGUUUAAAGGGUGCGCAGGCGGAUUUUUA
rnacentral:rRNA from 1 species